UACGGAGGGGGCGAGCGUUAUUCGGAAUUAUUGGGCGUAAAGGGCGCGUAGGCGGCUUGAUAAGUCAAAGGUGAAAUCCCUCGGCUCAACUGAGGAACUGCCUUUGAAACUGUCGGGCUUGAGGCCGGGAGGGGGUAGCGGAAUUCCCAGUGUAGCGGUGAAAUGCGUAGAUACUGGGAGGAACACCGGUGGCGAAGGCGGCUACCUGGACCGGUUCUGACGCUGAGGCGCGAAAGCGUGGGGAGCAAACAGG
rnacentral:rRNA from 1 species